CUCCAGUAACCUGGGACUCUAGCAGCUGCCAUCACUAUUUUUAUCCAGGGUCGCACCUUGGGAUUUUGCCCACUCAGGAAACCCAGCAGCCAGUGUAAAUCAACGCUCUCUUCCUUUCCAUCUGUGCUUCAUUGCAAGGAAGAAUCUACUCUGACAGAUGCAGCCACCUCUGCAAAAGCCCCACCUGUGACCACAAGAGGCUCUGAGGGGCCGUCCAGACCCAGCCCUGACAGGGAGUUUCCGCCCUUUGGUCAGAGGAAUGCCAGGUAAGCCCCCAGUGUGCGGGGGUGGAUGUUGGGUCAUUGUAACUCGGAUUGUGACACCACGGGACUGGCUUGACC
rnacentral:lncRNA from 1 species